rnacentral:rRNA from 1 species
CUGGUUGAUCCUGCCAGUAGUCAUAUGCUUGUCUCAAAGACUAAGCCAUGCAUGUCUAAGUAUAAGCAGAUUAUACUGCGAGACUGCGGACGGCUCAUUAAAACAGUCACAAUCUAUUCGAUGAUUCUUACUACUCGGAUAACCGUAGUAAUUCUACAGCUAAUACGUGCACAAACACCAGGCUCUGCCUAGUGGUAUUUAUUAGAUCAAACGCCAAUAGUCUUUGACUUUCGGUGAAUCAUAGUAACUUCUCGGAUCGGUCUCAGGCCGACAAAUCGUUCGAAUUUCUGCCCUAUCAGCUUUCGAUGGUAGGAUAGAGGCCUACCAUGGCUUUAACGGGUGACGGAGAAUUAGGGUUCGAUUCCGGAGAGGGAGCCUGAGAAACGGCUACCACAUCCAAGGAAGGCAGCAGGCGCGCAAAUUACCCAAUCCCGACUCGGGGAGGUAGUGACAAGAAAUAACAAUAGCCGGUUAAUUACGAUUGGCUAAUUGGAAUGAGUACAAUUUAAAUCUCUUAACGAGGAUCCAUUGGAGGGCAAGUCUGGU